AACGAACGCUGGCGGCGUGCCUAACACAUGCAAGUCGAACGGGGUGAGGGGCUUGCUCCUCAUCUAGUGGCGCACGGGUGAGUAACGCGUGGAUAAUCUGCCUGAUACUCUGGGAUAACAUCUCGAAAGGGGUGCUAAUACCGGAUAAGCCCACGGGCUCUUCGGAGCUUGCGGGAAAAGGAGGGGACCUUCGGGCCUUCCGAUAUCAGAUGAGUCCGCGUCCCAUUAGCUAGUUGGUAGGGUAAAGGCCUACCAAGGCGACGAUGGGUAGCUGGUCUGAGAGGAUGAGCAGCCCGACUGGAACUGAGACACGGUCCAGACUCCUACGGGAGGCAGCAGUGGGGAAUUUUGCGCAAUGGGGGAAACCCUGACGCAGCAACGCCGCGUGAGUGAUGAAGGCCCUUGGGUCGUAAAGCUCUGUCAGAGGGAAAGAAAUGUGGGCGGCUAAUAUCCGUACCACUUGACGGUACCCUCAAAGGAAGCACCGGCUAACUCCGUGCCAGCCGCCGCGGUAAAAC
rnacentral:rRNA from 1 species